AGAGCGAACGCUGGCGGCAGGCUUAACACAUGCAAGUCGAGCGGGCGUAGCAAUACGUCAGCGGCAGACGGGUGAGUAACGCGUGGGAACAUACCUUUUGGUUCGGAACAACACAGGGAAACUUGUGCUAAUACCGGAUAAGCCCUUACGGGGAAAGAUUUAUCGCCGAAAGAUUGGCCCGCGUCUGAUUAGCUAGUUGGUGAGGUAACGGCUCACCAAGGCGACGAUCAGUAGCUGGUCUGAGAGGAUGAUCAGCCACAUUGGGACUGAGACACGGCUCAAACUCCUACGGGAGGCAGCAGUGGGGAAUAUUGGACAAUGGGCGCAAGCCUGAUCCAGCCAUGCCGCGUGAGUGAUGAAGGCCCUAGGGUUGUAAAGCUCUUUUGUGCGGGAAGAUAAUGACGGUACCGCAAGAAUAAGCCCGGCUAACUUCGCGCCAGCAGCCGC
rnacentral:rRNA from 1 species